rnacentral:lncRNA from 1 species
CAAGAACCAUUUCCCAGUGCUCUGUGUCCUGCACUGACCAAAGAAUUUGUUCAAUCCAAUCAAGGAAGUCCUUCGGUUGAAUGCCAGUGAGCUCCUCUCCACCUCAGGGAGGCAAAGGCUGAGCUUGCUGUCUCAGAAGAAGCCCAUAUCUGCAUAUUUUAAAUUUUCUCUUAGGAUGGCUGGCACAGAACAAUUAUCAUUUCCACUAUCUCUUGUUUGGAGGAGGUAUUUUCAUGCUAAGUCAGAGAUUAAGUAUAACAUUUAAUUUAAUUUUCAGUUUUCCAUUUCCUUUACAGCUUUGAAACAGAAAUUACUUUUAUUAAAGUAUGAAUUGAAAGUCAAAACAAAAUGUGGUGGCAGAAUUUCAAGUGCAUAACAAAAAAGAGAGUCAAAAGUGAAUAUAUGCCCCUCAGAGAAAAAAUAGGAAAUAUAGAUGCAGAUAAAGAAAAAAAAGAGAAGAAAUAUUUUUAAAUCAUCCAAGAGCCCCCCACGGAGACGAGAAGAGCAACUGUCGCCAUCUGGAGGUAAACCAAUUGAGAGUAUAUCAGCUGUCAACAAGAUGAUGAGUUGGAUCCUGCCUGACCUCCCACAGCUGAGGCUGAGGCCAGUUGAGGGUAAAGGCAGUCAUGACUUCACACUCUAGCCGUCAGGUCUGGGGCCAGCCUUCCUCCUGCGGCCCCACUGGGAAGUCCGGUGCAGCCCUGGCACCAAGUUCACUCUCUCCCCACCCACGCUUUACAGAAGAUGAAGAGGAAAGGCAAGAGGAGGCUUCUUCCUCUCCCACGUGGAAGAAGAGGAGGGUGUUUUCUCCUGCCUGAAGCCCAGUGAGGGGAACUCCAAAAGAAUCCUCCCUAAGUGUUGGAGGUGACUGUAAGGUGGGACACCAGCAACUUAUUCUCAGCUAGGUGCUGGCUCAGGGACAGACUCAUGUAUGUGCUUCCUAUAUGGGAACAGACCAUGCUGAGGGUCCUUUCCUUGGGAAAGCACUUGGGGAUCUGAGAAUCUAGGAAUGUAGCAGUUAGAUUUUAGCAACUUUUUCCAUCUAUGGGGGAAAGAGGGUUUGCUUGCCAUAUGUCCCUUGAGGUUUGGGG